GACGAGCCACCCAAACGUUAUUCGGAAUUACUGGGCUUAAAGGGUGCGUAGGCGGUGCAGCAAGUCGGGAGUGAAAUACCUCAGCUUAACUGAGGAACUGCUUUCGAUACUGCUGUGCUUGAGUGAGACAGAGGUAAGCGGAACUUAGGGUGGAGCGGUGAAAUGCGUUGAUAUCCUAAGGAACACCGGUGGCGAAGGCGGCCUGACUCGUGGCCGAAACUGA
rnacentral:rRNA from 1 species